rnacentral:lncRNA from 1 species
GGAAAGAAUGAACCGGACCAUCAAAAAACAGCUUAGGGAAAGUGUGUCAGGAAACAAGAUUAAACUGGGUGCAGGCACUUCAGUUGGUGUUAUUCAAAAUUAGAUGCACCCCCUCUAAGAAAACAGCAUAUUCCCCUAUGAAGUCUUAUAUCAUAGCCCCCCUCUCCUCCUCUGGGCACUCCUAGGAACUCAGGCAUGGGGAGAGAUUGAGUUAGGAUGCUAGUUAUCAGCUCUAAGGAGAAUCGCUUAGGAUACCUCAACCUGAGCAAAUAACAAAUGUCCUGUAAGUCUUUUUCUCCCCAGUUCACCCUUUCUCACUAGGUAAUCACAUGUGGAUAAAGGAUGGGAGUACAGCCCCUCUAAAGCCACAAUGGAAAGGACCUCAGACCUGAUCCUGACCACUCCCACAGCCGUGAAGGUAGAGGGAAUCCCAGCCUGAAUCCACCACAGCCGUGUAAGAAACCAGCAACAGCUGAGACUUAGGCCAAGGCAAGGAUUACAGAAUCACCUUAAAAAAGACAACAAGCCUUGCUCCAGACACAUCCCAGAAGCUGGCUCGUCCAUGCACAGCCAAAGCAUGAGGAGAUUCAUUGUGGGACUUGUUCUUCUUAAUAUUUGGACUUGUACAGUAGGAACAUUAACUAAUUUUAAAGAAUGCCCUCAGUAGGUACACCAGAUGACCAGGGGCAAGCAGUGGAGGAUACUGUGUGAGACAUGACCAAACUGGCACACGUGCCUGUACAGGUGUGGCACGGAUUUAACCCUGAGUCCUUAUUCGGAAGUCAGUUCUCAUCCUUGGGAGGAUUCAAAACCCUCAUCAUAAUAAUAGAGGUCCAAACCAACAACCGGUAUGGAAACCAUCCAGACAUUUAAAGCCUUAUCAUGAGCGGCGGUUAUCACCAUUGCAACAGCUGUGAGCUUCCCAAUGGAGAAGUACAUGUGACAAAGAACUGAGGGAAAACUUCAAUGCAAUAGCCAGUAAAGAAAUGAAUUCUGCUAUCAAUUACAUGAACCAGCUUGGAACAAGAACCUGCCUCCAUUGAACCUUCAAAUGAGAUUGCAACCCUGGCUGCCAUUCUGACUGCAGCCUUGUGAGAGACUUUGAGGGAGAUAUACUUCAGCUAAGCUGCUCCCAGAUUCCUGAUCCAGA